AGAAUUAAAAAGAUCAUUUUCUUCUUCUUCGACAUGUUGAAUUCGAGCAUUGUGUCUCUCUUCCUAGGUACGAUCCUCGUAAUCUCUGUCGUUGUGCCUACCCUACAAGCUGAGGAGGUCGGUGAAUACGUACCAACUGAAGAUUCAAUUCGGCUUAUAAAUCGCACGGAGUUGAAAGCAAUUAUAGGUAAGAACGAGAAGAUCGAUAACUUUGGUCAGAUCCUGAUGAAACAGUGUUUGGUUUGCACCUGUUGUCUCAAUGGUCACAAACCAUCUCCCAAGUUCUGCAAGUCGACGAAAUGUUGCUUUGAUGUAAAUUGUAGUUUGGCAAACCCUGAAUGUAGUUUGCAUCCAUAUAAUUGCGAUUGUCACAAACAUUGCUAAUAAUUAAACCUUCUCCAAAAAACAAUUAUCCUCUUUCAAAGAUCGAUCGAUCGAAAAGGGAUCAUGAAUAAAUAAAUAAGCAUUGUGAUUUCUGAGUUUAUUACUUUAUUUUCUUUCAAUGGUGACUGCUGAGUUUAGUUAAAUG
rnacentral:lncRNA from 1 species